rnacentral:rRNA from 1 species
GAUGAACGCUGGCGGCGUGCUUAACACGUGCAAGUCGAACGGUGAAGCAGAGCUUGCUCUGUGGAUCAGUGGCGAACGGGUGAGUAACACGUGAGCAACCUGCCCUGGCCUCUGGGAUAAGCGCUGGAAACGGCGUCUAAUACUGGAUACGAGACGUGGCCGCAUGGUCCACGUUUGGAAAGAUUUUGUGGUUCGGGAGAGGCUCGCGGCAUAUCAGAUUGUUGGUGAGGUAAUGGCUCGCCAAGGCGUCGACGGGUAGCCGGCCUGAGAGGGUGGCCGGCCACACUGGGACUGAGACACGGCCCAGACUCCUACGGGAGGCAGCAGUGGGGAAUAUUGCACAAUGGGCGAAAGCCUGAUGCAGCAACGCCGCGUGAGGGAUGACGGCCUUCGGGUUGUAAACCUCUUUUAGCAAGGAAGAAGCGAAAGUGACGGUACUUGCAGAAAAAGCGCCGGCUAACUACGUGCCAGCAGCCGCGGUAAGAC